rnacentral:rRNA from 1 species
GAUGAACGCUAGCUACAGGCUUAACACAUGCAAGUCGAGGGGAAACGACAUCGAAAGCUUGCUUUUGAUGGGCGUCGACCGGCGCACGGGUGAGUAACGCGUAUCCAACCUGCCCAUCACUUGGGAAUAACCUUGCGAAAGUAAGACUAAUACCCAAUGACAUCCCACGAAGACAUCUGAAUGAGAUUAAAGAUUUAUCGGUGAUGGAUGGGGAUGCGUCUGAUUAGCUUGUUGGCGGGGUAACGGCCCACCAAGGCAACGAUCAGUAGGGGUUCUGAGAGGAAGGUCCCCCACAUUGGAACUGAGACACGGUCCAAACUCCUACGGGAGGCAGCAGUGAGGAAUAUUGGUCAAUGGGCGAGAGCCUGAACCAGCCAAGUAGCGUGCAGGAUGACGGCCCUAUGGGUUGUAAACUGCUUUUAUAAGGGAAUAAAGUGGGUCUCGUGAGACUUUUUGCAUGUACCUUAUGAAUAAGGACCGGCUAAUUCCGUG